CUUGGCCAACCAGCACCUAGUAUGGUGCUGGUUGUGGGCCAUCCCACAUGGGUGUGUGUGUGGGUGCAAAGUAGGCACCAUGUUAGGUGCUAAUCCUUUCUCAUGUAGGAAUCUUUCUUUGAUAAGUUGUGGACUGAUUCAAAGCUUAUUUGAAUUAAAAGUUCUAUAGUUAUUGGUUCAUAAGAAUCAUCUAUAAAUAGAGA
rnacentral:lncRNA from 1 species